rnacentral:lncRNA from 1 species
CACAAUAUCCUGACCAGGCAGCAUCUGUUACAAACUGAGGGACAGGUUUUAUCCAGCUCUGAAGCAAAAAUGGAGGAUUAUCAGAACAGCUGUCAGAAGACUGGAAAGAAAUCUUGGAGAUCAUGUAGUUUUGAAAGCUUACAUUUAAAGAAGUUUCCAAGAGAGGACUGGACAAAGGCUUAAGACAAAGCAAGUCUAUUCUACAAAACAGAUAAAUAAAAAAUAAGAAACAAAUAUCAAACAAAUAAGUUGCUUUUAAGCACUGUCCCCUCUCCAUGCCCUGUAAAUAAUUAAUCAUAAAAUAUAUAAAAUGAAAG